rnacentral:rRNA from 1 species
UACGUAGGGACCGAGCGUUGUCCGGAAUUACUGGGCGUAAAGAGCUUGUAGGUGGUUUGUCGCGUUGUUCGUGAAAUCUCACGGCUUAACUGUGAGCGUGCGGGCGAUACGGGCAGACUAGAGUACUGCAGGGGAGACUGGAAUUCCUGGUGUAGCGGUGGAAUGCGCAGAUAUCAGGAGGAACACCGGUGGCGAAGGCGGGUCUCUGGGCAGUAACUGACGCUGAGAAGCGAAAGCGUGGGGAGCGAACAGG